CCUCAUCUGCGACUCACGGUACAUCUGCGACUCCGGCGAUCAUCCUCGUCAUUCAUCGAUCUGAUACCGUACAUCUGAAAUCCUCUCACCAAUCUGAUUUUGAGGAGAUCUGCCGCUCGAAGAAAUCCUUUCACCGAUCUGAUUCUGGCUACACCGAUCUUCAUUACCUUUAAGGUUAGGUUUCGUCUAUAAGGUUAUAUCAUUGUUAACGGUUCAAAUUCAUGAUACUAUAUCGAAUUGCUAGGGUUACGGAAGCUAGAGGUUGUGAUUUUGUUUUGUUUUGUUUGUGUUUUUACAGAAAUUAGAGCUCCUGACUCUGUAUGU
rnacentral:lncRNA from 1 species